AUGGCAAAUGCUGCUGAUAUAGGUACUCCUCUUUGGCGUAAUGGGCCACCAGACAAGCCAGUUUUCUGCAAUGCAUGUGGGUUGAUAUGGAGGAUAAAGGGUACGUUGGUGAAUUACAUGCGGGCGCAUCGUCGGGAAGAUACUGGCGCUGGCGAAGCUGGACCUGACAAGCUGAAGCUCAAGGGACAGAAAUAGCCGAAGAAACGACCAAACCGCAGCAUAGUGAAGGAUGGACCAUGGUCUGAUCAGAACUUCUGGAAGAUAGGAAAUGCGAACACAAGCAAUAGAUCCGGUUUUGGAUCAGCGGCAUCGUAUUCAGAGAGUUGUGCCCCGUGUGGUUCUAUUGAUGCAAGUGAAAUAGCCGGUGAGUUCUAUCUAAUUUCUUGA
rnacentral:rRNA from 1 species